UUGGACCUGAUAUCAAACAAGACUACCCGCUGAACUUAAGCAUAUCAAUAA
rnacentral:rRNA from 7 species